ensembl:lncRNA
CAACCACUGAUAUGCUUUCUGUCACUGUAGAUUAGUUGGCAUAUUCUAGAAUUUCAUAUUGUCGCCAGUGUCAGUAAUUCAUUCCUUUUGAGUGCUGAAUAGUAUUCCAUUGUAUGGAGGUAGCACAUUUUGUUUAUGGAUUCCUUGGUGGAUGGAUCUUGGGGCUGUUAGAAAUAAAGCUCUUAUGAACUUUUGUGCACCGGUCUUCAUAUGGACAGACUUUUGUUUCUUGUAGGUGAAUAUGAUCGACCCUCAAUAUCUGCAGGUUCCAUAUCCCUGGAUUCAAUCAACCACAGGUCAAAAAUAUUCAGGAAAAAAAAUUCCGAAAGUUCUUAAAAAGCAAAACUUGAAUUUGCUACACAGUGGCAACUAUUUACAUUGUAUUUGCAACUGUUUACAGAACAUGUACAUUGUGUUAGGUAUUAAAAGCAGUCGAGAUGACUUGAAGCAUACAAGAGGAUAUGCAUAGGCUAUAUGCAAAUAAUAUGCCAUUAUAUAAGGGACUUGAGCCUCCAUGCAUUUUCAUAUGAGCAGGGGGUCCUGGAACCAGUAUCUGUGGAUUCAGAGGGAUGACUGUACCUAGGAGUAGAAUGGUUGGGUCAUAUGGUAUGUUUCACUUUUUAAGAAGCGGCCAAACUUCUUUUAGAAGGGAUGGUACCAUUUUACAUUCCCCUCAGCAGUGUGUGAGGGUCUGGGCUUUGCUUUUGUUGGUUUGUAUUGUUUUUGUUUUUGUUUUUAAGUCUUAUUGAAGUAUAGUUGAUUCACAAGGUUGUGAUAAUUUCUGCUGUACGACAAGGUGACUCAGUUAUAUACAUAUGCACAUCCAUUCUCUUUCAGGUUCUUUUCCCACAUAGAUGAUCACAGAAUAUUGGGUAGAGUUCCCUGUGCUAUACAGCAGGUCCUCGUCGGCCAAUCAUUCCACAUACCUCAGUGUGCAUAAGCCAAUCCCACACCUCAAGUCCCUCCCUCCCCCACCCCCACUCCCUUUGGUAACCGUAAGUUUUUUAAAGUUUGUGAGUCUGUUUCUGUUCUGCAAAUAAGUUCUUUUGGGCUUUGUUUUAAACCCAGAUAGAAAGCUGUAGAAGGGCUGCUCUUUACAUAAGCAUCUUUAAGAGGAGACUUAGGUGGAGGGCGGGGACAGAAUAGUUAGGCGGGAGCCAGCAGUGGGUCCACAAGGAAUUGGGAAGAGCCAGUUCGAUGGGAAGCAGGUGGGCUCUGCAUCUAUCUAUCCCUCCCCCGCCCCCGCCCCCAUGCUCUCUGACCCUGCUUGGGAGUGGGUGUGGGAGAGGAGGGGGAGAAUUCCACUGAUGCCUUGACUUGAUGCAGUUGUGUUGGUGUCAGUGCAUACUUGUUGAAUGAAUAAAUGAGUGUCAAGGGAGGCCAGAAGGGAAGGGGCAUAGGGCUCGGGUUCUGAUGAGUGAGACUGAAGAGCUGGCAGAGGAGGAAGAGUGGGAGUGAGGUGGCUGGGCUGACACAGACUCUCGUCUUACAAAAUGCCCAGAAUCAGGAUUACAAAGCCUUUUCAUUGUCAGCAAAAUGAGGUCCCAAGGCUUCCAUUCUCAAUCCUGCAAAAACAAACCGCUGUUUUUACAUCUCACAGUUAAAAAGAUAUUUGAUGUCUCUUGAGCAUGUGGCCAGAGAGUUUCCUGAUGGGAAUACUUGAUGGGAUGUAACACAAAGAAUAAGCCCAAGGAAGAGCCUACGUGACAGGAUAUCUUCUCAUGGCCCACCUUCCUUCCUGGCCUACCUUCUAGACUCUUCUGCACCUGCAGUUUUACUUCACUCCAUUCUCAACUUCCAGCCUCUCCCAUCCUUUGGAUUCACUGGCUCUGGGAUCCUCCCUGGCUUCUUAGUUGCUCCAUCCAAUAGCCUUUCUCAGAUUCAGGUUCCUGCUCUCAUGGCUGCACUUGGUCCUGCCCCUCACCUCCUCCUUCUGGAACUUUCUCUCUCCCUGUGCUGCAAGCCAGCAUCCCUGCAAGGAUGACUCUGAGAUACACAUUAGGGGUGCUCUCAAUAUCAACACCCACAGAAGCAGAAACCUCAUCUGAGGGAGAAGCUCAGCUGUGAAUAGGUCUCUGCGAAGUCCUCAACAAGGACCCCCUGGGGAGCUGUCACAGCCAUUCAGAGUCCCAAGUUGGAGCAGAAGGGCCAGAUCCGUAUGUUCCCUGGGGACCCACCAUGGGAUGAGGGCUGGAAAGAGGGGAGUGCUUGGGUGAAGCAGUUUUCUUCAGCCAGAGGCCACUUGGGCAGCAUUGCCAGCAGCUGGGGGAAUCAAUCCUUCCCUAACAGGGGGUCUGGGCAGCACAGGACAGCAUGUGCUAAACCUGCCUUUUCUCCAGCUGCUCCUUCCUAAUCAUGGUUGACCCCUUAACCAUGGCCUCAGGCUGUGGCCUUCUGCUCUUUCUCUAUUUAUAAUCUUUUUGUAAGACGCUAGUAAAAUGAAGAACCAAGAAGAGUGACUAGUAUUCAGCGAGUGCUUACUGAGAAGAGAGAAUAGGCACUAGGCUAAUUCACUAUCUCACUUAAGUUCACAGAAACCCAUUAAAGUCAGUGGUAUUAAAACUCCAUUUUAGGGAGUUGCCGUCGUGGCGCAGCGGUUGGCGAGUCUGACAGGGAACCAUGGGGUUGUGGGUUCAAUCCCUGGCCUUGUUCACUGGGUUGGGGAUCUGGUGUUGCCGUGAGCUGUGGUGUGGGUUGUGGGUGCAGCUCAGAUCCCACGUUGCUGUGGCUCUGGCGUAGGCCGGUAGCUGGGGCUCCAAUUCAACCCCUAGCCUGGGAAUCUCCAUAUGCCGCAGGAGUGGCCCUAGAAAAGGCAAAAAGACAAAAAAAAAAAAAAAAA